CGAAAAUGUAGAGGCCGUUCAGGUUCGGGUACUCGCAGCCCCGGUACACGUAGCCCCCAGUGACCGACUUGCCCAGUUUGUGCGGGUAGGCGAAAAUCGGCAGCACAUCAUCUGCAGAGGCGGGAGAAGCUGGAUGAGAAACCCGAGAUACAGAAAUGUCAAGCAACUUGAACCCAGGACUUUGGACCUUCAGAGCCAAGACCAGAAGCCUUUCUAUUGUGAGGCCAACACACACGACUUGUCUUCAUCAGGAAUCAAUAUUUAAAAGUCACCAUUGAAGACACAUCCACUCUGUCCCUCUCUCUCCCCUCUGUGAGAUCCAUGUGAUAAACUUGGCCUCUCUUGGAGAACUGGUUGUGCAGCCUCAUAUAAGGCAGUGUCUUGGCAGUCCCUGACUCCAGCUGGCUUCAGCUCUCCCCACCCAGGUCCACCAUGGUUCUAGCUUCCACCAAGUGGCCCCAGCUCAGGGGCUCCAGUAACCCCACUUCUCACAGCCCAAGAGACGGAGGCAGCUCCCUCCAGUUGUUAAGCCCAGAGUUGCCUCCCUUCUUCUCCAGGUUGCUCUUUCAUCAUUUCCAACACCCGAGGAACUAAUUCCCAGUAUCAAAUUCUGCCUAUUUGAGUUACCUGGUACAGGAUUUAUUUUCCCAUUGGAGACAGAUUAUGUAUGCCCUUCCUGCCAGUCUAGGUCAAACCUGUUUUGAAAACAGUUGGGGCAUAACUAAUACCCAGAGAGCAGGCUGGGUGUUGAGAGGAGCAGAGGCCUGGA